rnacentral:rRNA from 1 species
UACGUAGGGUGCGAGCGUUAAUCGGAAUUACUGGGCGUAAAGCGUGCGCAGGCGGUUCGCUAAGACCGAUGUGAAAUCCCCGGGCUUAACCUGGGAACUGCAUUGGUGACUGGCGGGCUAGAGUGUGGCAGAGGGGGGUAGAAUUCCACGUGUAGCAGUGAAAUGCGUAGAGAUGUGGAGGAAUACCGAUGGCGAAGGCAGUCCCCUGGGCUAACACUGACGCUCAUGCACGAAAGCGUGGGGAGCAAACAGG